rnacentral:rRNA from 1 species
GACGAACCUGCGAACGUUGUUCGGAAUCACUGGGCUUAAAGGGCGCGUAGGCGGGCUGCGGCGUCCGGGGUGAAAUCCUCCCGCUCAACGGGGAGAACGGCCUCGGAUACGGGCGGCCUCGAGGGAGGUAGGGGCAUCGGGAACUGUGAGUGGAGCGGUGAAAUGCGUUGAUAUUCACAGGAACUCCGGUGGCGAAGGCGCGGUGCUGGACCUCAUCUGACGCUGAGGCGCGAAAGCCAGGGGAGCGAACGGG